rnacentral:rRNA from 1 species
GACAGAGGUGCCAAGCGUUAGGCGGAAUCACUGGGCUUAAAGCGUGUGUAGGCGGGUGCCUAAGUACCUUGUGAAAUCCCCCGGCUCAACCGGGGAACGGCUGGGUAUACUGGGUGCCUUGGGUCAUCUAGGGGCUGCCGGAACAAAUGGUGGAGCGGUGAAAUGCGUAGAGUAUCAAUUUGGAACGCCAACGGCGAAAGCAGGCAGCUGGGGAUGCACCGACGCUGAGACACGAAAGCCAGGGGAGCGAACGGG